rnacentral:lncRNA from 1 species
GUGAGGAGAUAAAAAAUAACAGUAAAUAUACUUAACAUAUAGAAAGAGAUUUGCAUUUAAUGAAGUCCAGUAACUCAAGACAUGGCUAGGCUUUUUUCGAUGUCGGGCUGAGGUGUACACCUACGUCUGUGAGACACGUCCUGAGUUAUUUGUCGGCGCACCCAUUCUCUCUUACCGCAUAUCUUAGCUGCUAGGUGUGG